rnacentral:rRNA from 1 species
AUGGUUGUUUGGCAAGAAGUGCAGUUCCCACCUCCUCCCUCGAUGGCAUUCCUUGUGGCCUCGGCUGGCUUCCCCACGCUCCUCUUUCCAUCCCGGCAUAGUCCUGCAGUUCUCUCCAUUUCGGUCACCGGCGACGGCGAUGGCGAGGCUCAGAUCCCCAUCAUCGACCACCAAAGGCUGCUGCUGGAGCUAGACCAUGGUGUUAACCAUAGUGUCCCAGAUGAUGUGGUGGAGAGCAUGAAGCCCAACAUCCAACAAUUCUUCCAGCUACCCGCAGAGACGAAGAAGCGAUUCGCUCAGGAGCAAGGGCAGCUAGAAGGCUAUGGUCAACUAUUUGUUGUCUCUGAGGAUCAGAAGCUCGACUGGGCUCACAUGCUCUUCCUCUACACACAGCCACCUGAGAUGAGGAACACCAAGUUCUGUCCUGACCAGCCUGCUACCUUCAAAUCGGCGCUGGACAGAUAUUCUUGUGCGGUGAAGGAUGUAUCGGACUCCCUUUUGGCUAUGAUGGCCAAAACUUGUGAAUUUGAUGUGUUCAAGUGCGAGUUGUACAGAUUUGUGUCCUAG